GCCGAAGUGGUGAAAUUGGUAGACACACUACCUUGAGGUGGUAGCGGUGCAGGCCGUGCCGGUUCGAGUCCGGCCUUCGGCA
rnacentral:tRNA from 1 species